rnacentral:rRNA from 1 species
UACGUAGGUGGCAAGCGUUGUCCGGAAUUACUGGGUGUAAAGGGAGCGCAGGCGGGAAAGCAAGUCAGCUGUGAAAUCCAUGGGCUCAACCCAUGAACUGCAGUUGAAACUGUUUUUCUUGAGUGAAGUAGAGGUUGGCGGAAUGCGCGGUGUAGCGGUGAAAUGCAUAGAUAUCGCGCAGAACCCCGAUUGCGAAGGCGGCCUGCUGGGCUUUUACUGACGCUGAGGCUCGAAAGUGUGGGGAGCAA